GUGCCAGCCGCCGCGGUAAUACGUAGGUGGCGAGCGUUAUCCGGAAUUACUGGGCGUAAAGCGCACGCAGGUGGCUGGAUAAGUCUGACGUGAAAGCUCCUGGCUUAACUGGGAGAGGUCGUUGGAGACUGUUUAGCUUGAGGCCAUGAGAGGGGUGUAGAAUUCACGGUGUAGUGGUGGAAUGCGUAGAUAUCGUGAGGAAUACCAGUGGCGAAAGCGACACCCUGGCAUGGGCCUGACGCUCAGGUGCGAAAGCGUGGGGAGCGAACGGGAUUAGAUACCCCUGUAGUCC
rnacentral:rRNA from 1 species